UACCAGCACCCCGAGUGGUCGGGACGAUUAUUGGGCCUAAAGCAUCCGUAGCCGGUUCUACAAGUCUUCCGUUAAAUCCACCUGCUCAACAGAUGGGCUGCGGAGGAUACUAUAGAGCUAGGAGGCGGGAGAGGCAAGCGGUACUUAGUGGGUAGGGGUAAAAUCCGUUGAUCCAUUGAAGACCACCAGUGGCGAAGGCGGCUUGCCAGAAUGCGCUCGACGGUGAGGGAUGAAAGCUGGGGGAGCAAACAGG
rnacentral:rRNA from 1 species